GUGAAAAAGAUAUAGAAAAUGGGUGUGAUGGGUGGACAGCUUUUCAAGGCUUUUUCCUUGUGCUUUUGUCACAAAAAGGGAGAAGAAAACAUGCCAAAAAGGCCUGAAGCUUUAGGCAAUCCGCCCAUAGAGAAAAUAAAGAGAAAAAGGAAAGAAAACAACAUGAAAAGCAAAUGACCUUGGGCAAUCCGCCCAUAGAGAACAAAAUGGAGAAACCAAAGGCAUUUUCAAGUCUUUUGCCUUGAGAGAUCCGUCCACUACCAAGAAGAAACGAAAAAGGAGAAGAAAGAAGGAAGGGAAAGGAAGAAAGGAAUGAGAGAAGAUGAGAAAGGAGGAAGAUGAAAAAGGAAAGGGAAGGUUCAACUUAGUGGACUCGAGGCACGAUAAGUGAUGAGAUUUUCAUCCUUCAUGACAUGCAUACAUUGUAAAUCAAUUUUAAGUGUGCUUUGGUUUGUGGUAACAACAACCCACAUGGAUUCAAAGGAUCCGAGGCAUGCAUGCAAGUAGAUCUUAGAAUCUAUGGUGAUUUUGGAGCUAAAUGAACAAUGGCAAAGGUAAUCUUAGAGGUGAAGAAGUUGUGAAUCACAUUUGGGAAAUUCAAUCUUAAGCCAAGAAGAAGAGAAUAGUAAGCAAA